rnacentral:rRNA from 1 species
CAGUAGCCACGGUAAUACGUAGGGUGCAAGCGUUAAUCGGAAUUACUGGGCGUAAAGCGUGCGCAGGCGGUUUUGUAAGACAGAGGUGAAAUCCACGGGCUCAACCUGGGAACUGCCUUUGUGACUGCAAGGCUAGAGUACGGCAGAGGGGGAUGGAAUUCCGCGUGUAGCAGUGAAAUGCGUAGAUAUGCGGAGGAACACCGAUGGCGAAGGCAAUCCCCUGGGCCUGUACUGACGCUCAUGCACGAAAGCGUGGGGAGCAAACAGGAUUAGAUACCCCUGUAGUCCCUGUCUCUUAUAC